UAUCAAAAUUUUCAUCCAUUCUUAUCAUUAAAAAUUGGUUUGGCUAACAAAAUAACCAGAAAGUUAUACAUGACAUGCCACAUGUACUUAAUUUUGAUGUACACAGAUCAUUUUUUAACAAUAAAAAUAAAUGAAAUUUUUAAUA
rnacentral:pre_miRNA from 1 species